rnacentral:rRNA from 1 species
GCCAGACUCCUACGGGAGGCAGCAGUGAGGAAUAUUGGUCAAUGGCCGAGAGGCUGAACCAGCCAAGUCGCGUGAGGGAUGACGGCCCUACGGGUUGUAAACCUCUUUUGCCGGGGAGCAAGGCCGCCGACGUGUCGGCGGAAGGAGAGUACCCGUAGAACAAGCAUCGGCUAACUCCGUGCCAGCAGCCGCGGUAAUACGGAGGAUGCGAGCGUUAUCCGGAUUUAUUGGGUUUAAAGGGUGCGUAGGCGGGCUUUUAAGUCAGCGGUAAAAAUUCGGGGCUCAACCCCGUCCGGCCGUUGAAACUGGGGGCCUUGAGUGGGCGAGAAGAAGGCGGAAUGCGUGGUGUAGCGGUGAAAUGCAUAGAUAUCACGCAGAACCCCGAUUGCGAAGGCAGCCUUCCGGCGCCCUACUGACGCUGAGGCACGAAAGUGCGGGGAUCGAACAGGAUUAGAUACCCGUGUACA